rnacentral:rRNA from 1 species
GAUGAACGCUGGCGGCGUGCCUAAUACAUGCCAGUCGAGCGAACGGACGAGAAGCUUGCUUCUCUGAUGUUAGCGGCGGACGGGUGAGUAACACGUGGAUAACCUACCUAUAAGACUGGGAUAACUUCGGGAAACCGGAGCUAAUACCGGAUAAUAUUUUGAACCGCAUGGUUCAAAAGUGAAAGACGGUCUUGCUGUCACUUAUAGAUGGAUCCGCGCUGCAUUAGCUAGUUGGUAAGGAAACGGCUUACCAAGGCAACGAUGCAUAGCCGACCUGAGAGGGUGAUCGGCCACACUGGAACUGAGACACGGUCCAGACUCCUACGGGAGGCAGCAGUAGGGAAUCUUCCGCAAUGGGCGAAAGCCUGACGGAGCAACGCCGCGUGAGUGAUGAAGGUCUUCGGAUCGUAAAACUCUGUUAUUAGGGAAGAACAUAUGUGUAAGUAACUGUGCACAUCUUGACGGUACCUAAUCAGAAAGCCACGGCUAACUACGUG